UGGGGAAUAUUGCACAAUGGGCGAAAGCCUGAUGCAGCAACGCCGCGUGAGGGACGACGGCCUUCGGGUUGUAAACCUCUUUUAGCAAGGAAGAAGCGAAAGUGACGGUACUUGCAGAAAAAGCGCCGGCUAACUACGUGCCAGCAGCCGCGGUAAUACGUAGGGCGCAAGCGUUAUCCGGAAUUAUUGGGCGUAAAGAGCUCGUAGGCGGUUUGUCGCGUCUGCUGUGAAAACCCGAGGCUCAACCUCGGGCCUGCAGUGGGUACGGGCAGACUAGAGUGCGGUAGGGGAGAUUGGAACUCCUGGUGUAGCGGUGGAAUGCGCAGAUAUCAGGAAGAACACCGAUGGCGAAGGCAGAUCUCUGGGCCGUAACUGACGCUGAGGAGCGAAAGGGUGGGGAGCAAACAGGCUUAGAUACCCUGGUAGUCCACCCCGUAAACGUUGGGAACUAGUUGUGGGGUCCAUUCCACGGAUUCCGUGACGCAGCUAACGCAUUAAGUUCCCCGCCUGGGGAGUACGGCCGCAAGGCUAAAACUGCAAAUGAAUUGACGGGGUCAUAGCUGUUUCC
rnacentral:rRNA from 1 species